AACCGCCCUUCUCGUGCAGACGGUGGGUGGGCGCUACCCGCCGGGCCCCUGAGCUGAGGGGCGUGGCCGGCGGGGUGAGGCGUCCCCCGGGUCGGGGGUCGGGCCUAGGGGCAUCCCCCGAAAGGCGGAAGCGGGGCGAGGCUAUCACAAAGCUUGCGGCCGGGUCUCAAGCUAUUGGGGAGGGGGCUGACGGGAUGGCCUGAGGAAAAGGUGCGAAUAAGAAAAAGGCACUCUUCUGGGCCGACGAAUGAGAGAAGAAAAUGGCGCCUUCCCUGGACGGGUGGGUCCGAGUGGAGGGGAGGACGCGGAGGGGCACCCGGUGGGCAAAGCGAGGGCGCCGAGGCCACCCCUGGUCUGUAGGACCGAGGUUGUGAGGGGAAGGAACCGACGCGAGGCCACCCCUGGUCUGUAGGACCGAGGUUGUGAGGGGAAGGAACCGACGCGACCACCCUCCGGUCCUGGAAUGAGCUCGAAUGAGUUCUGGAGUUGAGAAGCCCAAGAUCAAGCAAGGUUCAGCAGAGUUGGUUUUGUGUAAGGGGCCCGAAGAAGGAUCUGUUCCCGGCCUCACUCGUUGACUUGUAAGAGAAACCAAGAUGGCGGCAUAGGUAAACACUGGAGAUUGCUGCCUCG